CACUUCUGCCUCAGCGUCGGAG
rnacentral:rRNA from 1 species